CUACGGGUCGCUCCAGUCGAGAAUCUUUUGCAAUGCGGGAAACCGUGACAAUGCGACGCCGCGUGAGCGAUGAAGCCCUUCGGGGUGUAAAGCUCUGUCAGCCCGGAUGAAUAUCUUUUUCUGAAUAAGAAAGGGAGACGACGGUACGGGCAGAGGAAGCCACGGCUAACUCCGUGCCAGCAGCCGCGGUAAUACGGAGGUGGCAAGCGUUGUUCGGAUUUAUUGGGUGUAAAGGGUAUGUAGGUUUCCCGGUAAGUCGAAUGUGAAAUCCCUUGGCUCAACCAAGGAAUUGCAUUCGAAACUCCCGGGAUUGAGUAUGGAAGAGGAGAGCGGAAUUCCCGGUGUAAGGGUGAAAUCUGUAGAUAUCGGGAGGAACACCAGUGGCGAAAGCGGCUCUCUGGUCCGAUACUGACACUGAAAUACGAAAGCUAGGGGAGCAAACAGGAUUAGAUACCCGCGUAGUC
rnacentral:rRNA from 1 species